UACGUAGGGGGGCAAGCGUUGUCCGGAAUCAUUGGGCGUAAAGCGCGUGUAGGCGGCUUGGUAAGUCUGCUCUGAAAGCCCGGGGCUCAACCCCGGGAGGCGGGUGGAUACUGCUGAGCUCGAGUCCGGAAGAGGCGAGUGGAAUUCCUGGUGUAGCGGUGAAAUGCGCAGAUAUCAGGAGGAACACCUAUUGCGAAGGCAGCUCGCUGGGACGUAACUGACGCUGAGACGCGAAAGCGUGGGGAGCAAACAGG
rnacentral:rRNA from 1 species